UAGUUGGGGCCUGUCAGCAGGGAUCC
rnacentral:piRNA from 1 species